rnacentral:tRNA from 1 species
GAGGGUAGAGCUCAGUGGUAGAGUGUGUGCUUUGCAUGCACGAGGUUCCGGGUUCAAUCCCCAGUACCUCCA